UACGUAGGUGGCAAGCGUUAUCCGGAAUUAUUGGGCGUAAAGCGCGCGUAGGCGGUUUUUUAAGUCUGAUGUGAAAGCCCACGGCUCAACCGUGGAGGGUCAUUGGAAACUGGAAAACUUGAGUGCAGGAGAGAAAAGUGGAAUUCCUAGUGUAGCGGUGAAAUGCGUAGAGAUUAGGAGGAACACCAGUGGCGAAGGCUACUUUCUGGCCAUAAACUGACGCUCAGGUGCGAAAGCGUGGGGAGCAAACAGG
rnacentral:rRNA from 1 species